UACGUAGGCAGCAAGCGUUGUUCGGAAUUAUUGGGCGUAAAGAGUGCGUAGGCGGUGUUCUAAGUCUGUCGUGAAAUCUCCCGGCUUAACUGGGAGGGUGCGGCGGAAACUGGGAUGCUAGAGGGUGGGAGAGGUAAGCGGAAUUCCUGGUGUAGCGGUGAAAUGCGUAGAUAUCAGGAGGAACACCUGCGGUGUAGACAGCUUACUGGACCACUUCUGACGCUGAGGCACGAAAGCGUGGGUAGCAAACAGGAUUAGAUACCCUGGUAGUCCACGCCCUAAACGAUGCAUACUUGGUGUGAGCGAUUCAUUUCGUUCGUGCCGGAGCUAACGCGUUAAGUAUGCCGCCUGGGGAGUACGGUCGCAAGGCUG
rnacentral:rRNA from 1 species